GAUGAACGCUGGCGGCGUGCCUAAUACAUGCAAGUCGAGCGAAUGGAUUAAGAGCUUGCUCUUAUGAAGUUAGCGGCGGACGGGUGAGUAACACGUGGGUAACCUGCCCAUAAGACUGGGAUAACUCCGGGAAACCGGGGCUAAUACCGGAUAACAUUUUGAACCGCAUGGUUCGAAAUUGAAAGGCGGCUUCUGCUGUCACUUAUGGAUGGACCCGCGUCGCCUUAGCUAGUUGGUGAGGUAACGGCUCACCAAGGCAACGAUGCGUAGCCGACCUGAGAGGGUGAUCGGCCACACUGGGACUGAGACACGGCCCAGACUCCUACGGGAGGCAGCAGUAGGGAAUCUUCCGCGAUGGACGAAAGUCUGACGGAGCAACGCCGCGUGAGUGAUGAAGGCUUUCGGGUCGUAAAACUCUGUUGUUAGGGAAGAACAAGUGCUAGUUGAAUAAGCUGGCACCUUGACGGUACCUAACCAGAAAGCCACGGCUAACUACGUGCCAGCCGCCGCAGUAA
rnacentral:rRNA from 1 species